UACGGGAGGCAGCAGUGGGGAAUAUUGCACAAUGGGCGCAAGCCUGAUGCAGCCAUGCCGCGUGUAUGAAGAAGGCCUUCGGGUUGUAAAGUACUUUCAGUCGUGAGGAAGGUGUUAAGGUUAAUAACCUUAGCAAUUGACGUUAGCGACAGAAGAAGCACCGGCUAACUCCGUGCCAGCAGCCGCGGUAAUACGGAGGGUGCGAGCGUUAAUCGGAAUUACUGGGCGUAAAGGGCACGCAGGCGGUUAAUUAAGUUGGAUGUGAAAUCCCCGGGCUUAACCUGGGAAUGGCAUUCAAGACUGGUUAGCUAGAGUCUUGUAGAGGGGGUAGAAUUCCAUGUGUAGCGGUGAAAUGCGUAGAGAUGUGGAGGAAUACCGGUGGCGAAGGCGGCCCCUGGGACAAAGACUGACGCUCAUGUGCGAAAGCGUGGGGAGCAAACAGGGAUUAGAUAC
rnacentral:rRNA from 1 species